GUUGGGAAUAUUGCGCAAUGGGGGAAACCCUGACGCAGCAACGCCGCGUGAAGGAAGACGGUUUUCGGAUUGUAAACUUCUUUUAUCAAGGACGAAACAAAUGACGGUACUUGAUGAAUAAGCUCCGGCUAACUACGUGCCAGCAGCCGCGGUAAUACGUAGGGAGCGAGCGUUGUCCGGAAUUACUGGGUGUAAAGGGCGAGUAGGCGGACUCAACAGUCAGAUGUGAAAUACCGGGGCUUAACCCCGGGGCUGCAUUUGAAACUAUGGGUCUUGAGAUAUGGAGAGGUAAGCGGAAUUCCUAGUGUAGCGGUGAAAUGCGUAGAUAUUAGGAGGAACACCAGUGGCGAAGGCGGCUUACUGGACAUCUACUGACGCUGAGGAGCGAAAGCGUGGGGAGCGAACAGGAUUAGAAACCCGUGUAGUCC
rnacentral:rRNA from 1 species